ensembl:lncRNA
CUGCUCAUAAGUGUGAAGCCUAGAUUUGAACCUAUGCAUUCUAAUUCACAAAGUUCAUGUCUCAGGCAGUAAAAGGAUUUGGGUAUCAGAAAGGCAUCCAUGGGAAUGGAUGCCAACUGUGACAUUUUCCUGCCUGUCGCUUCUCUUGGAUCGUGGUUGAGAAAAGAGCACUGAAGUUCUACAUUUCUCUUGUUUUCCUUCUCCAGACUGCAGACUCCAGUGCAUUCGAUAUUAUAUUCCGCAGUCAGAUGAUUUUCCUACCAUCUUUGUCACAGUUACCACACUGCCUGCCACAAUUCCUGGUUAAGACAAAAUGAUCGCAAUGUACGGGCAGGCCCAAGGAAACAGGCCUUUAGACAUAUAUGCAGGCAGAACACUGUAUAUAAUAAAUAAAAACAUGAAGAAGGAGGAAGGAAGGAGGAGGAAGAAGGAAGAAGAAGGAAGAAGAAGAAGAAGAAAGAACAACUCCCUUCUGUUACCACCAGGAACACACUCCACUCCUGGGCAACUGUCAAAUGGGAAUCAAGGACCUAUGGUGAACCUUGGGCAAUUAUGGACAGACGGAUGGAGCCAGCCCGGGCCACAGAAGAACCUAAAGCAGACACAGCACAGCUGACUCCUUCACCCUCCUCUAGACCUCAUGGAAGCAUGGAGUGCACAGUGCCUGUACGAUGGGUUACUAUUUUGUAAUUCCCAUCUUUGCUUCAUUACCUCAUGUCUGCUGCUUUGACCAUAAACACAGACCAAAUGCCAAGACACAGACUACUGUCACCAGGAAACCCAACUGCUUGUACCAGACUCACCUUUAGGCUUUUGGACUGUUUGCUGUGUUGACUUAAAGAUGGCAGGGGACAAAAACAACACAUGGCACUGUGCUCAUGGAUUCCUCUUUGGUGAGGUCUUAAAACCCAGGGAACAGGGGCCUGGAGAGAUGGCUCAGAGGUUAAAAGCACUGACUGCUCUACCAGAGAUCCUGAGUUCAAUUCCCAACAACCACACGGUGGCUCACAACCAUCUAUAAUGAGAUCUGGUGCCCUCUCCCGGCCCACAGGCAAACAUGCAGGCAGAACAUUGUAUACAUAAUAUAUAAAAUCUUAAAAAAAAAAAAAAAACAGGAACCCAGGGCCAACCUGUCUCCCUUAUUACAGCUAACUGGCAUGAUCAUCCACUCCCAAUCCCACCCCCAGUGAAUGUACAUCUCCUCUUUUUCCUUCAUUCCUCUGCUCAAGGUCCUGUGAGCUAAGGAGAGUAACACAAGUAUUCCAGAAGUGCAGAGUACAGGCUUCUCUUCAUUAUGAAUCUCUUUGCAGCAGGAAAAGAAAGAAAAGGCGUUGAUUGUCUCCACUUGCACAUAACUUGUGACACAAAAAGAUCCCUGUCAAAUAAUCCUCCCUUAAUACGUUCCCUUUGCCAUUGUAAACUGAGACAUGACCUCCAAGCAUUAAUACCCAGACAAUACAACAUUUGUGUGCUGUUUAAUUAGCUUAUUACUUUUGUUAAUGUACAUUCCUGUGGUUGCUCUACUCUCCGCUCAACCUGAAAUAAAAACUACAUGGGAUUAAAAA